rnacentral:lncRNA from 1 species
UCAAUUAUGUCCCUCUAUAAAUAUAUCCACACAUGCAUUGGUAUUUUUACAAUUCAUCAAAGUCUCAAAGCAAAAUAAGCAAAAAUGAAAAAGGAAGGUCAUCAACACGGUUUCGUUCGGACCGGGAUGAUUCAUCCGCCAGGAUUUAGUCCAAGACCCUCCAACCAAUUCAUGAACCGGCUUGAUUCGCCACCGGCUUCACGAGAAUUUACCAAAGUGCCAUCAAAACCUACCAACCAUUCUAAAUUUACAGGAAAAAAUGAGCGUUCCAAGUAUAGCAACUGCCAUGUGUCGCCGGCUAUAUGAGCGUUCCAAGUAUAGCAAUUGCCAUGUAUUGCCGGCUAUGAAGUCUGCUGACACAUCCAAGGGUCGCCAAAAGUUAAAGUCGACAGAUUGGUGGGUUGAUGAUAAGCUAGAUCGGCUCACCGGUUCGGGUGCCUCCUCUGCUAGAGAUAUUUUGGAUACAAUAGGUGGUGAAGGUUAUGGUGGUCAUGAUUAUGAUGAUGACGAUGACUGUUAAACAUUUCAUCAAGAAACUUGAAAGUUGUUUUUUUCUUAUAUGUUGAAUUAGAUAACAUCUGUAAGACUAGUUUCGAAAAUAAAAAUGAAACAGCUAUGGAAAGAAAAAAGAAGAAGAUAUUUUCGAAUCAAUGCAAAAUUUGAUUAGUAUGAUAGAGUGCAACAUUAUUUAGUAUAAAGUUUUUCUAUAGAGUUUUUCUUGGAUUCACCCUUUAGAAUAACAUGUACAUGUUAACCAACCAAUAAAAUUUAGUUAUUUUAGAUUCAGAUUUUUUUUAAAGAAAAUAAAAUAAUAAGAAUUUGUCAAGUUAUAUUAUAUUUUUAAAAUAAAUAAAAAUAUAUAAUAAUUACCAAUUUUUUUAACAUUGUUAACGCUGUCACGAAAACACUAAAUCAUAAACUCUAAAUCCUAAACCCUUAGGUAAACUCUAAAUCUUUGGGUAAACUCUAAACUUUUGGAUAAAUCCUAAACCCUAAAUCAUAAACAUCAAAAACUAAAUAUUAAAAACUCUAAAUCCUAAAUAGUAAACCCUAAACUCUUGGGAUUUAUGAUUUAUCCAAAGAUUCAAAGUUUAUGGUUAAGGAUCUAGGGUUUAUUAUUUUUAAAAUAUAGUUUCAAUGUUUAUGAUUUAUAAUUUAGGAUUUAUCCAAGAGUUUAUGUUUUAUCCGAGAGUUUAGAAUUUAAAAUUUAGGAUUUAGUUAUUUGCUAACGGAUUUAACACUAUUAAAAAAUUAUUUUUUGGUAAUUAUUAAUAUUUUUAUUUAAAAAUAAUAAUAUAACUUGACAAAUUGUUAUUAUCUUGUUUUUUUUAAAAGAUAUUGAGUCUUAGAUAACUAAAUUCUAUUGGUCGAUGAACUUAAGGGUAUACUCAAGAAAAACUCUUUAAUAUAACAAUACAAAAAACAAAACAAAAGGGCAAAGACCCAAAACCUGAAGUAUUGGAUUCAUUUCUCUGAAUAAAUAGACUAAUCCAACAAUCCUCUUUAUAUCCUCCCGAGUGAUUUAGGAAUGUUCAUUACAUAGAAGAUUAUUGAAACUAAAAUCAAAAGCUAUUACUCUUGAUCAAAGUUUUAUUGACCAGAUGUGAAUAUCUGAAUAAAACAAACCAUUCUAUCAAUUACUUUACUUUGGAACAAAAUAAUUAAAAUUAGCUUUAGAUCUGAUUCACUGGAAUGUGUACUAUUUUCAGUGGAUUUUUCAAAGGAAUAGUAUUUCUAAUUAUUUCCGUUUCUUUCUUAUAUAUGGUCUUGUUAUUUUAAAUAAAAUAUGAUGUGGACAUCUUUAGAAAGAGCAACAAAAAAAGACUUUUAAAUUAUCAGAUAAUGUGGAGAAAAAAGUAGAAUAUAAUACUAAUUUCUUGGCGACCAAGUGCAUCUGACUAUUCGCAUUUUCUUGUGUCCCAAACAUAUUUGGUAUAACCCUCAAUUAUAUGUCCGUCCUUCUAUAAAUAUAUCCACACAUGCAUUGGUAGUUUUACAAUUCAUCAAAGUCUCAAAGCAAAAUAAGCAAAAAUGAAAAAGGAAGGUCGUCAACACGGCUUCGUUCGGACAGGGAAGAUUCAUCCGCCAGGAUUUAGUCCAAGACCCUCCAACCAAUUCAUGAACCGGCUUGAUUCGCCACCGGCUUCACGAGAAUUUACCAAAGUGCCAUCAAAACCUACCAACCAUUCUAAAUUUACAGGAAAAAAUGAGCGUUCCAAGUAUAGCAACUGCCAUGUGUCGCCGGCUAUGAUGUCUGCUGACACAUCCAAGGGUCGCCAACAGUUAAAGUCAAUAGAUUGGUGGGUUGAUGAUAAGCUAGCCCGGCUCACUGGGUCGGGUGCUUCCUCUGCUAGAGAUAUUUUGGAUACAAUAGGUGGUGAAGAUUAUGGUGGUCAUGAUUACGAUGACGAUGAUUGUUAAUCAUUUCAUCAAGAAACUUGAAAGUUGUUUUUUCUUAUAUGCUUGAAUUAGAUAACAUCUGUAAUACCAGUUACGAAAAUAAAAAUGAAACAGCU